AGGCAACCCUCUUCUGUCAAAAAAAGUUGGGAAGGGAAGGUGUUAAUCUGCUCGUAUAUCAAUUUACUUGCGCUCUUCAGACUUGCUGAUUUUGUUCAUGAAGUUGGUCUAGUAAGCCUAAGUACAUC
rnacentral:snoRNA from 1 species